UUCAAUCUCAAUGCAAUGGAAGUGUCUGCUCGGCGUUUCCUUGUAUUGGCAGUGAAGGUUGCUGGGUACCACCAGCUUCUUUGAAAUGCAUUAGCAGAAAAUAAGCAGAGUCGGCUUCGGUUUGAUAUGAUCUAUGCUGUUGCCGACGGAGCUUUUUAUGUUCUGCUGACUUGUCUUUGUAUGGGACUGUCCACCCUGUGGACAUUUUAUCAA
rnacentral:misc_RNA from 1 species